rnacentral:rRNA from 1 species
CCUACGGGCGGCAGCAGUGAGGAAUAUUGGUCAAUGGGCGUUAGCCUGAACCAGCCAAGUCGCGUGAGGGAUGAAGGAUCUAUGGAUCGUAAACUUCUUUUAUAUGGGAAUAAAGUGCGGGAGGUAUACUGCUUUGUAUGUACCUUAUGAAUAAGGAUCGGCUAACUCCGUGCCAGCAGCCGCGGUAAUACGGAGGAUCCGAGCGUUAUCCGGAUUUAUUGGGUUUAAAGGGAGCGUAGGCGGGUUUUUAAGUCAGUUGUGAAAGUCUGCGGCUCAACCAUAGAAUUGCAGUUGAAACUGGGAUGCUUGAGUACGGUAGAGGUAGGCGGAAUUCGUGGUGUAGCGGUGAAAUGCUUAGAUAUCACGAAGAACCCCGAUUGCGAAGGCAGCCUGC